CAGCCGAUCCGGUGUGCUCCCAACCUGCCCAUACUCCCCCCUGCAGGCCAGACGCCGUAUGUCCCCCCCACAGUUACCUCAUCUGUCCAAACGUGUGAAACGUUUCCUCUUAACUAACGCUAAGAAAAAAACAGGAAGAUGGGCCCAUACCAGAGCACCAUCACAAUAACGGGACACCCCUGGGCUGUGGUCGAAUAUACUGUCAACCAAGCAACAGGGAACCCAUUAGGAAAGGAGAGAUCGAGAUGAGGUGUUGUCUCCUCUACACUAGAAGGGACAAGGGCUGAACGUUAACUACAACCUUGAUCCUCCGAAACCCCAAAAUCCCAGAAUGAACGCCUUAUUAAGGGUCAGGCCGCGUCCUGCUACGCGGUCCAAUACCUCCAUCUAGUGGCUACUUGACGCCAGUGGUUCUCUCCUGAUACACCAGUCUACAAUCACCAAUCACCAUUCCCUACUUCAGCCGGGGGAUCUCCUAUCAGCCGGCGCCAGUUCGUCGUUACGUCUACCCAGUUAGUAUCGGUCCUACCAGCAUUCUUGAACAUCUGUUUCGUAGCCUGUCCCCUUGGUAACCAUCUCUCCUGUUCUCUAGUUCUCCCCCUGCCACCGAACCCCUGCCUGCCUGACUACCCGCCUGUCAUCGAGCCCUUGCCUGUCUGACUGCCUGCCUGUUACCGGAUCCCUGCCUGCCUGAUUACCCGCCUGCCUACCAAUAAAUCACG
ensembl:lncRNA